UGGGGAAUAUUGGACAAUGGGCGCAAGCCUGAUCCAGCCAUGCCGCGUGAGUGAUGAAGGCCCUAGGGUUGUAAAGCUCUUUCACCGGUGAAGAUAAUGACAGUACCUGGAGAAUAAGCUCCGGCUAACUCCGUGGCAGCAGCCGCGGAAAUACGGAGGGAGCUAGCGUUGUUCGGAAUUACUGGGCGUAAAGCGCGCGUAGGCGGCCAUUCAAGUCAGGGGUGAAAUCCCGGGGCUCAACCCCGGAACUGCCCUUGAAACUAGGUGGCUAGAAUACUGGAGAGGUGAGUGGAAUUCCGAGUGUAGAGGUGAAAUUCGUAGAUAUUCGGAAGAACACCAGUGGCGAAGGCGACUCACUGGACAGUUAUUGACGCUGAGGUGCGAAAGCGUGGGGAGCAAACAGGAUUAGAUACCCGCGUAGUCC
rnacentral:rRNA from 1 species